rnacentral:lncRNA from 10 species
CUGAGCCCUCCUGCUGUUAAGAGGCAUCCUCAUCUCCCACGCAGGCUGAAGCCUGGAGGCACGGGUCAUACAGAGUAACAUUGGGGAUUUAUUAUGAAUGUUCUGAAAGAAACGAAGCACAAAAAGGCUAAGUGAUUUGUCCAGUCUCAUUAUGACAGUGGGGCUUGGGCAAGUCUAUGAUGCUGCCAUCUGAGUUAUCUUAAACAGUGAAUGACUGUUGAUUUCUGUUUUUCUACCAAACUUUUGUGAUAUUUCAAAGAAUAGUUUAUUUAAAAUUGUGUAUGUUUACAUUUCUGAGUAUCUGUAAAACCCCAUGUAUUAAGUAACAUUUUCUUCCCUUAGAUCUCUCAAAUAAGUAAGUGACUCUAAUCCUUAGGAAAUAGCUGUGCAUUCAAUUAGAUAUUUUAAAAAUCCACAUGUUCUUUCGGUACUUAAAUUGAAAUAUUUUUAAUUGUUUCUGAAAAUGGAACACUUGAAUACAAUUUUCUCUGUGUGCAUGUUCCUUAGGUUGAUGGUUAACAAUAUUGAUUUGUAUUUCAGAUGAUGUAGAAAGUAUCCCUGCUGUUCAUUCACAGCAUAAAACCAUUUUGAGUGAUGUUUCCAUUUUCACAGCAUCCUAUACGUAUCUCAACACAUGUCUUACAAUGCCCUAUUAGUCAAACCAUCUCUUUGUCCAUAUAUUCAAAUGAACUGUAGAGGUUAUUAACUUGCCUUUGGCAAAUAGAUUUAUUUUUUUAAGAUAAAUGCUUUUAUAAAUUCAAUGUGUGACACUUUCAUUACAAAUUAUAAAUAGAAUGCCCUGCUAGACUUUUAUGAUAGCCAUCACUAACUCAUUUGGGCCCUUAUUACAUUUCAAGCCUUCACAUUCGUGGAUAUUUCCUUUUUAAUCACUAGCAAGUCUAUUUUGGGAUGUUGCAGGUUUUAAAUUUUAGUGUUGUGUUCAUCUAAUUGGUCCUUUAAAUAGACACUAAGCCUUUUGCAAUUUAAUUAUGCUAUCAAACACUGAAUUUAAUACCUAUAUUUUUAAUCACCUGUGUCAUAUUUCUCUUCUAAUAUGUUUAAUGUUUCUUACAAUAUGAAAUUAU